rnacentral:rRNA from 1 species
CAAUAGCGUAUAUUAACGUUGUUGCAGUUAAAAGCUCGUAGUUGGAUUUCUGGAGGGAGCGUCGGCCCGUAUUUACGAGUGCGUGACGUCUCUGUCCAUCCUUGCGGGAAGGCACGGCAUUGAUUUGUUGUGUCGGAUCGCAUCAUUUACUGUGAAAAAAUUAGAGUGUUCAAAGCAGGCUUUCGCUUGAAUACAUUAGCAUGGAAUAAUAAGAUAGGACUUUGGUGCUAUUUUGUUGGUUGAGCCUAAAGUAAUGAUUAAUAGGGAUAGUUGGGGGCACCUGUAUUGCGUUGUCAGAGGUGAAAUUCUUGGAUUUACGCAAGACAAACAGCUGCGAAAGCGUCUGCCAAGGAUGUUUUCAUUAA